rnacentral:rRNA from 1 species
AGAGCGAACGCUGGCGGCAGGCCUAACACAUGCAAGUCGAGCGCCCGUAGCAAUACGGGAGCGGCAGACGGGAUAGUAACACGUGGGAACGCGCCCUUCGGUUCGGAAUAACUCAGGGAAACUUGAGCUAAUACCGGAUACGCCCUUACGGGGAAAGAUUUAUUGCCGAAGGAACGGCCCGCGUCCGAUUAGCUAGUUGGUGAGGUAAUGGCUCACCAAGGCGACGAUCGGUAGCUGGUCUGAGAGGAUGACCAGCAUCACUGGGACUGAGACACGGCCCAGACUCCUACGGGAGGCAGCAGUGGGGAAUAUGGAUAAUGGGCGCAAGCCUGAUCCAGCCAUGCCGCGUGGAUGAUGAAGGCCUUAGGGUUGUAAAGUCCUUUUAACGGGAAGAUAAUGACGGUACCGUAGAAUAAGCCCCGGCUAACUUCGUGCCAGCAGCCGC